GAAAUUAGUGGCCACCAGCCUAUCAUCUCACAAACCCAACCUCUCGAUAAACCCAAAACCCCAUUGUUACCAUGCGUCUGACCACAAGAUCUCGAAGCCCAACAAGCCAUUACAAUACUCAUGGCCGCCGAGGCAACAUUGGUCGUGUUCGGUAGCUCUACAGGUUUUCCUCUCCUCUGGCGCCACUCAGCACAGCCGAUUUCUUCAAAGCUCGCAUUUUAUACCAGCAAGCCGACUGGAAGAAGAAACGCACAGCCUACUUCCAUGGCUGCUUCUACUGCUAACAAGGUGAUACCAGCUGUCAUUAUCGGCGGUGGACGGGUGGGAAGGGCCCUGCAGGGUUUGGGCGACGGUCAAGAUUUGCUGGUUAAGAGGGGUGAGUCUGUGCCUCUUGAUUUUGAGGGUCCCAUUUUGGUUUGCACAAGGAACGAUGAUCUCGACGCUGUUCUGGAGGUUACUCCUCGGUCUAGAUGGAACGAUUUGGUUUUCUUCCAAAAUGGGAUGCUGGAGCCGUGGCUAGAGAGUAAAGGUCUGAGUGAUGCAGACCAAGUGCUUGCUUAUUUUGCUGUAUCAAAGCUCGGGGAACCUCCUGUGGAUGGGAAGACUGAUACCAAUCCUGAAGGUUUGACUGCAGCAUAUGGAAAGUGGGCUUCUGCUGUAGCUGCAAGAUUACAUUCUGGAAACCUUUCUUGCAAGGUUCUUGAGAAGGAAGCAUUUCAGAAACAAAUGUUGGAGAAACUUAUUUGGAUUGCGGCAUUCAUGCUUGUCGGAGCUCGUCAUCCUGGUGCAACUGUGGGUGUUGUGGAGAAGGAAUUCCGAUCUGAGGUCUCUACCCUCAUUGAAGAACUUGCAUCUGCAGCAGCAGCAGAAAAAGGUUUUUCAUUUGAAGAAGGCAUAGUUGAAAGAUUAUGUGCCUAUUCCCGAGCUGUUGCCCACUUCCCAACAGCGGUCAAAGAGUUCAAAUGGAGGAAUGGCUGGUUUUAUUCACUCUCAGAGAAGGCCAUUGCAGAAGGAAAACCUGAUCCUUGUUCCUUGCACACUGCAUGGCUCAAAGAGCUAAAAGUGAUAUAAAUGAUCAACUCACCGUAUCUGCAAUUUAGAAUUGCUUUUGAGAUAAACAGGAGAAACAGACGAAGCACCGUGGGAUCAAAUUCUUGGAAUUGACGGUUUCCAAAGGGAUAGACAGUAUCUAUUUGGUAAUUUGUCUUUAUAUGCUACCGAUGCUAAUCAAUAUAUCUGAUGCGAUUAAGAUAUUUUCGGGUUUAGUAUCACAGUGAAUGGAUGGGCCUUAAGCCCCUUUAAGAUAUCAUACCUUAACUUCAAUAUCAAACAAGCCAUCUGGGUAGUAUCUGUUAGUGCAAUCGUCUAAACUUAAGCUUGGACAGAACUCGAAGAUUAAGUUGUAGAAGACUUCGUCUUCGUUUGAAGGUCUUGGUCACUUCAUCACCAAAGUAUUUAAUUGUAAAUUAUGGUGAAGCAACAAAAGCUGUUUUUGCUGUGGAGAUAGUUAUAAAAGUAACGAAAAUAAAUGUGUAUUUCUCUCCUUCACAAGAAAGACUUUAAGGAGAAAAAGUAUACAACUUUAUGUUUGAAUUCUGUCCAGGCUUAAAUUUGUAUAAUCCCGUCUGGAGACUAUCCACAUGACUCUCCUGGUAUUGAAAUUAAGGUUUCCACCAAGAAUAUGUCAAGAGGAGCUUAAGGCCAUCCGUGAAAGAUGUAUUAUUCACUGUCCUGUUAGACCCCGAAAAUGUGUUGCUGAUUUCAGAUAUAUUGAUCCGCAGUUUUUGGAAUCAACUUAAGAGUUUUAAUGUUUCUGUUUACAUUAAGG